AUUAGAGUUUGAUCCUGGCUCAGGAUGAACGCUAGCGACAGGCUUAACACAUGCAAGUCGAGGGGCAGCAUUGGAGUAGCAAUACUUCAGAUGGCGACCGGCGCACGGGUGAGUAACACGUAUCCAACCUGCCGCUUACUCGGGGAUAGCCUUUCGAAAGAAAGAUUAAUACCCGAUGGUAUAAAGAGUUCGCAUGUUCUCUUUAUUAAAGAGUUUCGGUAAGCGAUGGGGAUGCGUUCCAUUAGAUUGUUGGCGGGGUAACGGCCCACCAAGUCUACGAUGGAUAGGGGUUCUGAGAGGAAGGUCCCCCACAUUGGAACUGAGACACGGUCCAAACUCCUACGGGAGGCAGCAGUGAGGAAUAUUGGUCAAUGGACGAGAGUCUGAACCAGCCAAGUAGCGUGCAGGAUGACGGCCCUAUGGGUUGUAAACUGCUUUUAUAAGGGAAUAAAGUGAGGGACGUGUCCCUUUUUGUAUGUACCUUAUGAAUAAGGAUCGGCUAACUCCGUGCCAGCAGCCGCGGUAAUAAU
rnacentral:rRNA from 1 species